UUGGGUUUGGGUUUGGGUUUGGGUUUUAACGAACCCGCACCCUAUCCUAGUCAGGCUUCCGCCCCUGCUGACGCAGAUCCACGGGGGACCUACCCGAGACGCAGCUGUAGCCGGGCGAGCAAAGCGGAGGGAUGUCCCGGAGACGGACUGAGAGCCCCGGGGCAGGGGCCGUGUCCCCACCAGAGGGACAGGCCCCAGGGGCCCAGACGCGGCGAGCCGCCAGGGGUCGCGCUGCGUCACGUGUCUGCACAUCCGUUGUCCGCGGUGGGCGCGUGUGUCCGGCUUCAGUGUGAGGCUUUUAACGUGUGUACCUGUUUAUCAAUAAAAAGUGGUCCAAGUGGUGGAUUCCCGUGAGACUCGGCAAGUGUGUGCAGGUCCGGUGUCCUCGCCCCCUCCAGCACCGCCCGUAUGCGACGCGCGGCGGCCGCUGCCGGCCCCAGGCGCUUCGGUAGGUGGCGCGGGUCCUCGCACACUGUUGCUGUCUUAGGUAGUUGGCUUUUCCCUGGUUCCCGGCACCCGCGGCCCGGCAGGUGCCGUCGCUCCCGCGGCGUUGGCCAAGCCCCCAAACGCUCCGGCGCCCUGACGAGCGGCGUGGGCCUUCGGCGCUGCCCUCGCGGACUUUGCCGCGCCCACACUUCACAUCUGCUCCGGCGGGGUGCCUGGCGUCCCACUUUGCUUGGUUGUGAGCAUUCCUGCAGUGUUUCUGGUGCCCUUUGAAAUAAAAACACUUUUUAAAAAAUCCGUCUCGUGGAUCCAGAACCCCGGCGCCUACAGCCUCAUUCGACAGACGUAGCAUUUGUGCUCGAGGGAGCCACAGGCCCGUGAGCGGGGCGGCCGGGCCGGGCACUCCCACCGCCACGGAGGGAGGAAGGGCCCGCACCAUCCCGUGAGGCGCCUGCUGGCUGCCCAGACGGGUGGGAACACGGAGACACGGCCCUGAACACAGACGCCGGGCCGGUGGCGACCCUCAGGCUCGCGUCCCCGCAGGAUUUUGCUGCCACGUGCCCCGUGUCCCUCCUCUAAGGGUGUGACGCUGACUCCGUCCACAGGAGUGUGACAGUGGGGUUAAGAUGGAGAGGGAAAACAUUAUCCGAACAGAAAGGCGGCUAAUCCCGUCUUCCGUCGUACGUGAACUCGUUUCGGCCGCCUGAGCGGAGAAGAGCGUCCUGCGGGUGGCCCGGAGUGGCAUUCCAACGCUCUCGAUGAAAGGGACUGUAAAGACUUAAUAAAAUCAGAAACGAAGGAGGAGACAUCACAACCAAUGCCACAGAAAUAAAAACGACCACAGGGGACUACUAUAAGCAAUCACAUGCCGCCUCACUGGACACCGAGAAGAGAGCGCAUUCCCAGAAACGUACAGCCUAUCAAGACCGAGUCACGAAGAAACCGCAUAGCACUCAGAAAGAACCCACAAGGACAAGUGCCGUGGGUGUGUGCGGGGAACAGGACGCUCUGCGUGAGUGUUCCGGGGUGCAGCCGUGUUCAUGGCGCGUAUUUUGAGGAAGGAUUUUUUUGGGAGGAGGAACUUGAGACCUCAAACUGAUGAACAAGGAGCAUUUCCACUGAAGGAAAUGUUUGACUUCACCAUACUUCGUCUUUCGUUCCUCUUCUCAUUUUGAUGGUCAUCCUUGGGGACGCCAAGGAGGAAGGAAGGUGGGGGCUCCUCCCCGGCCCAACAGUUCCCAGGGGAACCCCAAACAGACAAGCACCCAAGCCUGCUGCAGGGCACAUGAACCUCCGAGAGCCUGAAAGUGGCCACAGGAACGUCUGCAAGGUGACGGGUCGGACGUGAACUUGGCCCCUGCACGUUUUCCAGAAAACACAAACACAGCAACUCCAGGUAAGACUGGACGAGCGCAGAGGUCCACGGUGACGUCACUUGAUCCCACGGACGAGACUCGCUAUCGCCACUGUCACGCUGCCUCCCUUCUCGUGUCUGGAUCUCAACCCAGAUCCUGGAGGUGUCCGGCCCGUCGUGCAGCCGUCUCUCUCGGGACCGAGUUGGGCAGUAGGCGCUCUGCUGCGUGGAUGAGAUUUUCUUCGGUGCCGGCACAUCCCAACGAGAUGAUGAGAUGGGAGCAGGCUUGUACGUGCACUUAGGACCCUCGUGCCCCUUGGGUUCUUCUUAACACUGGUCCCACGCAUGGGCCCUUGGGUGCAGAAGCUCAGCAAACACAGCAUUAUCCUGACUUCACGGUCAGGCUCGGCCGUGUCACGGGCAUGACCUACAAGGUGGCACACCAGCUCUGAAAUCCCUUCUAUGACAAGCUCCUAACGUGGGGCGACCGAACGCGACAUGCCCCUUGGCCACGGGGAGGCAUGCGUGUGUGUGCGAGGACACUACCCACGCACAGCGACUGGCCCUCCGAAAACCCAGUGGCUUGUCUUCACCUGGCCGGUAGAAUUUGCGUGAGUUCUGAGAGGAGCUCCCAGUGCAAGGUUUAAUAAUAACGAUGCCCAAGACACCAUUUCGACAUUUGCAGUUUCCAAGAUGCCCUCCUGGACCUGAUCGCAUCUCACUACAACCUUGAGGCAGAUAACACUGUGUGCAUUUCAUACACCAAAACACCGAGGCUGCCUGAGGUUACAGAAGGCCCUCACUAGGGAGGGAAGGAGGAGGAUCCCACAUGGCCAUUCUGGCUAGAAUCAUCUAGUUCUCCUCUGUUUUUAUUUUUCUAAGUACUGAGUUUAAGAAGUAAUAAAAAUAUCUUCUUUGUUUUUU